GCUGAUGUGGCUCAGUCGGUAGAGCACUUCCUUGGUAAGGAAGAGGUCGCGGGUUCGAUUCCCGCCAUCAGCACCA
rnacentral:tRNA from 1 species